UACGAAGGGGGCUAGCGUUGCUCGGAAUCACUGGGCGUAAAGCGCACGUAGGCGGGUCGUUAAGUCGGGGGUGAAAUCCUGGAGCUCAACUCCAGAACUGCCUUCGAUACUGGCGAUCUUGAGUCUGGGAGAGGUGAGUGGAACUCCGAGUGUAGAGGUGAAAUUCGUAGAUAUUCGGAAGAACACCAGUGGCGAAGGCGGCUCACUGGCCCGGUACUGACGCUGAGGUGACGAAAGCGUGGGGAGCAAACAGG
rnacentral:rRNA from 1 species